UGGACAAUCUUUCGACCUCUGGUAGCUACC
rnacentral:piRNA from 1 species